rnacentral:rRNA from 1 species
ACCUAUUCUCAAACUCCAAAUAGAUGAGAACUCCGGCUUCCUUGAAACUUUGUUUUUGAAGCCGGGGGCUUGGAUCAGAGUGCCAAGUGGGCCAAUUUUGGUAAGCAGAACUGGCGCUGUGGGAUGAACCAAACGUCGAGUUAAGGCGCCCAAAUCGUCGCUCAUGUGAAACCAUGAAAGGCGUUGGUUGCUUAAGACAGCAGGACGGUGGCCAUGGAAGUCGGAAUCCGCUAAGGAGUGUGUAACAACUCACCUGCCCAAGCAACUAGCCCUGAAAAUGGAUGGCGCUGUAGCGACGUUGCCUAUACUCGACCGUCAACGGCAAAGCUGUCUAGGCGGGCAACCGCUUGGACGUUACGCCUUGACGAGUAGGAGGGCCGCGGCGACGUGCGCAGAAGGGUCUGGGCGUGAGCCUGCCUGGAGCCGUCGUCGGUGCAGAUCUUGGUGGUAGUAGCAAAUACUCCAGCGAGGCCCUGGAGGACUGAUGUGGAGAAGGGUUUCUUGUGAACAGCUGUUGCACAAGAGUCAGUCGGUCCUAAGCCCUAGGAGAAAUCCGAAGCGAUGGGUUGCCGUUAAGAAACAUAAAAUCUGAAGGCACUCGUUUGGGCGAAAGGGAAUCCGGUUCCUAUUCCGGAACCUGGCAGUGGAACCGUUCCAAUUCGGGCCCUCUGAGGACUCGUCAGGGCAACCUGAAUAGACCCGGAGACGCCGACAGGAGGUUGGGGGAGAGUUGUCUCUUCUCUAUAAGCGAUCGAGUUCCCUGGAAACUUCUAGCAAGGAGAUAGGGUUUGGAUCGCGAAGAGCACUGCAGUUACGGCACUGUCCCAAUCUUCCUCUCGGACCUUGAAAAUCCGGGUGAGGGCCACGAGGAACCCCACGCCAGACCGUACCCAUAUCCGCAGCAGGUCUCCAAGGUGCAAAGCCUCUAGUCGAUAGAAUAAUGUAGUAGGAAGUCA